GCUUGUCUCAAAGAUUAAGCCAUGCACGUGUUAGAUCGCUUUUAAGUAGAUUUAUCUAUUAUAAAGAAUCUGCGGAUAGCUCAUUAUAAGGGUUACAAACUUAGCUACUAGAUUAUUGAUAAGGAUAACACUAUCAAAGGUAGUGAUAAUACUUGAGGAAAAGUUAAAAUUUAACGAGUAAUAUUUGAAAAUUGAAAAUGAAAUAUAUGACUCGUCAGAGUCUGGUUGACCACGUUAGUGGCCUAGAAGUAGUAUUUCUUACUUAUCAGUUAGUUGUUUCAGUAAGGAUAAAACAAGACUACCACGAGUACGGAGGAUUAGAGUCUGACACCGGAGAGGGAGCCUGAGAAAUGGCUACUACAUCUAAGGAAGGCAGCAGG
rnacentral:rRNA from 1 species